ensembl:lncRNA
UUUAGCAUGUCAUCUUGUUUCUUUUAAUAUAAAAACCCCUCAACUAUUGUAGUGAUACAGAAUCAAAUAUGACAUGGUACAUGUCAUUUAAAUAAGAAAUGUGCCUUUUUACAUGAUUGGGAAAACAGAUAUGCAUCUGUUGGUCAUAGAUACCUAAAAAGAAAGGUAGGUGCGUGGAUCAGAAAACCGGUCAGUAUCUGGUGUGAUCACCAUUUGCCUCAAGCAGCGUGACGCAUCUCCUUCGCAUAGAGUUGAUCAGGCUGUUGAUUGUGGCCUGUGGAAAGUUGUCCCACUCCUCUUCAACGGCUGUGCAAAUUUGUUGUUCGUUGUCUGUAGCUUAUGCCUGCCCAUACCAGAACCCCACUGCCACCAUUAGGCACUCUGCUCACAACCUUCACAUCAGCAAACCGCUCACCCACACAGUUAAGCUUUGUCCUCAGAGGCAAUUCAUUUUGCAGUCAUAAAUCUGCCAGGUACAGCCGAAACCGGGAUUCAACCAUGAAGAGCACUUCUCCAGCAUGCCAGUGGCCAUAGAAGUUGAAUCCAGUGAGGGUGAACUCCCCUGAUUCUGUGAUGUGGCCAACCGGUAAGGUGCACAGAAGACCAAGGCCUUCUACUUCAGCGCAGACCCCUCAGAUCCACAAAAGGCCUCCAAUCAUUGAGAACUGUGGGCAGGAACAGACAUCUGGGGAUGGACGGGACAUGAAUCCAGAGCGUCUCAGCCAGUCUGGAAGGGUGACUCGGCUGAUGGAGAGAAAUUAUGAUGGGGUGAUCUCAUCCUCCAACUCUGAUGACAUCUCUAUCUACUCCUUCACUGACUGUGAAUCUGAGAUUAUUGUGGCCAAGCCCAACAUCCUUCUCCCUCCCUCUGUGAGUGCCCUGAAGAAGGCAUCACGCCUGAUGGAGUUGGUCCCUACUGUCCGGCCCUGCAGGGAGCAGCUGGACAAGAAGACACAGUGGACCAACACCAACGAGGAGAG